AAAGGAAAAGGAUGAAGACGAGAGAUGAUUGUAACAAAGAUCGAUUCUUUGCAUAGAAAUUACGCUCCAAAAGGAAAAGGUGAAGACAAGAGAAGGUGAGGAUCCAGAACGCUCAUCGAAGUUCGGGAAUUUGAUAGUAAAGAAUGCUUGCAUCUUGCCCUUUCUGUCAUAUAGAGCUCCCGGUUACUGAGCUCGAAUGGCACGCGAACAAUCAUUUAGUGGAAGAAGAACUUGCAAGGGAUAUAGAAUUGGCAAAACAAAUCUCACUAGCUUCCCCGAGCUCUUCACUCGUGGAUAGUCAAUUGGAUAAUGCGGAGCCUUCUUAUAUUUUCUCUGAUUGGACUGGUCAAACUAGCACCCCUUGCUCCAAUCACAGUGAAGCUCAUUACUUGGAAAAUUUUGAUCAAGAAAAGAUAUAUGGUUUGGUUGGUUUACAAAUUAAAAGCACAUUAUACAAAGUUGAAGGUGGUCUUAUGACCUUGCUGAAAAGGUGCUUGGAAUCAGAAAGCAAAGCUUCUAAAAGUGUAAUAUCCGGCUAUAUCGAUCACUAUCAGAGUGUUGCAUCAGAAGAUUCUGGAUGGGGCUGUGGAUGGCGUAACAUCCAAAUGAUGUGUUCUCACUUGUUGAUGGUAAGAAAACAAGCAAGGGAUGUUAUGUUUGGUGGUUCAGGAUUUGUUCCUGACAUUCCUUCGCUCCAGAGAUGGCUUGAGAUUGCUUGGGAGAGAGGGUUUGAUAAAACUGGCUCAAAUUCAUUUAAUCAAAAAAUUUAUGGCUCACGAAAAUGGAUUGGGACCACAGAGUGUGCCACACUUCUCCGUUCUUUUGGGCUUCGAGCAAGAAUUGUAGACUUUGAUAGUAUAUCAUAUUCAGGAGGUAAAAGGAUAAGCAAGCAUGUUUAUGGGCCAAUGGACAAGUUUAUACAUCAAAGGAAAGAUGAUGAUUUUUGUGUUACGUCUUCAUCUAUUGGAUCUCAUGAUGAACAUUAUGAUUUGUCUAAUCACCUAAAAUGCAACAGCACUGUGGUUGAUUGCGAUAGUUCAAAUGAUUAUAAAGGAAAGUCCAUGGGUCAUCAGAUCCUCAUCGAUUGGGUUUGGAAUUAUUUUACUAAUCAUGGAAGCACGGACAACAAACAACAUGUUUUGACAAGUGAGAAAACGCCUUUGUACUUCCAGCAUUAUGGCCAUUCAAGAACUAUUGUUGGAAUCCAAAAGCAGCAGGGAAAAAAUGGAUCUCAAGACCGAUGCUCUCUUUUGAUUUUGGACCCUGCCCAGAGAACUGCAGAUUUGGAAAGAUGUCUUACUACUAACAGGGGGUGGCAACAACUAAUAAAACGAGGGGUUCACACACUGAGAAAGCCACAAUAUCAGUUAUGUUAUGUUGAUCCUGGGACUGCGAAUGGAGAAGAGUUGGAACAGCUCAAGACUAUUGAUAGCAUUUGUGUAAGAUUAUAAAAGAUUGGUCUAAAUAGCAUGAAGAAUCUGUAGCAUCCGGCUUAUCUGGCACAAUUUCAGUUUCGCGGUCAAGGAUCUGAUAAGCUGGUGUCAGUAUGCUGAUAGCAGAGACAACCAUGGGGAUCAAAGUCCAUAGCUCAGUGAUUGAAGGAACAGUAAGUGAGAAAAUCUGUGUAUGUAGCUCCAAUGCCAAGAAUCAGUGGCACCACAAACAAAGCAAGAAGGCCUACUUCCCAGCAACAGAUGAAAGCAACUACGAUACCCACAAAGAAAGUGGAGAGGCUUGAGAUGCAAUGUCCCAUCUGGGAGGGGUCAAAAUUAAUUCAUUUUAGGAGCUAUAUAUGUUAGCCAAUGACGGUAAUAUAAUGGAGGAUAGUUACUCACCCUCUCGCCGAUUGCAUCUUGUAUGAUAUUCAUGUGGCUUGUGGUUCCAGUAAUUAUCUUUCCUGUGGUGAGAUCUGUGUCAAAAGCUGCAAUAUCUUGGGUUAGAACUGCUUCGAGAAAUGCCAGCCUCAAGCGUGAUAGUUGCCUUUCGCUGGAGUACAUCCAGCAUGAGAUUUCUGUGUUCACGUGUUCUUGUUAUUGUAUGCAAUCUUGGAGUAAACAGAACAAGCAGCUUGAUACUGUAAUCGAAGGAAAUUAAUUGUUGCCACAAUUAUGUUGUAUGAGAACGUAGGCAUUUUUUCCCCC